GAUGAAGAACGUAGCGAAAUGCGAUACGUAAUGUGAAUUGCAAAUUCAGUGAAUCAUCGAGUCUUUGAACGCACAUUGCGCCCUCUGGUAUUCCGGAGGGCAUGCCUGUCUGAGCGUCAUUGUCAACCCUCAAGCUCAGCUUGCUGUUGGGUCCCCGUCGUUGCUUUACCGGCGGACCCCAAAGAUAAUGGCAGAGUCCGUGAGACCCUGGAUGCAGCGAGCUUCUAGCACGCGUCUGGACGGUUUUCGGGCUUGGUCUUAACCAGAUGAUAACUUCUGAUUGACCUCAGAUCAGGUAGGGAUACCCGCUGAACUUAAGCAUAUCAAAAGCGGAGGA
rnacentral:misc_RNA from 1 species